CAGUUCCUCAGCUGAAUGGAAUUGUUCUCCUUUCAAGUCCCACCAAGAAAUGUAUUUAGGAAAUGAAAGACCAGCAGUCUGGUUUGGGCUCUGCUACAAAACUUCCGUCCCCGUUGGCACCAAGCUCUGAGUGCUCAUUUGGAAAAACAGCAACCCUUAUCCACCCAAUGGGGAUUCCUGAGCCUUGAUUUAUUAACAACUUGCUGGGUUCAAGUACACCUCAGCCACACCCUCUGACAUCCUCUACUAUUUAUUUGAAAUGUCCUUUGUGAUAAAACCCAGGCAACCUCGCCCUAGAAGGCCGAGGCUGCGCGGUUAUCACGGCCUGAGCGGAGCCUGCUCUGGUGGGGCCAGAGGAGACCAUAAUUGGAGGUUUUAUGGUUUUCUGCCACACUCCCAGCCCUGCAGCUGGGUCACCAGAGGUGAAGGUAAAUGGGAAAUGUGUCUGUGUUGUAGCUACCCUGGCAGCUCCUCUGGCUACGCGAGGCCUUGAACGUUUCACGAGGCAACAGAAGAAUGUUAAACACUCCCCUCCUCUCCCUCCUCAAGUGUCCCUUUGCUGCAAUUUUAUUAUUGUCAGAGAACGGUUCAAAGCUGUGGAAAGUGAUUGGAGUGUAAACAAAGUUUCAAACUUUGCUGCAGGAAUGCGUGUCUGCCCUGAGCUGAUGUGAAACCCUAGGUCUGAAUACCCCUCAAAUCUGGAUUCUUUCCAGAUCUAAAUUCUGCAUCGAGGUCCAGGGCGAGCAAUACCGAUAUCUGGAUUCACAAGCCAGCAAACAUGUAAACUAAACAGAGUUCCAAGUCCAGGACAGAAAAUUUCCACACUCCCCACUUAACCAAGCCCCUCUCUGUCUGAGCAGCCCUGAGGAUUAUUUUGCAUCGUUGAAGCAGCACAAAACAGCUCAGAGAUAAAAUGGACUUGAUGCAGGGACUGGGGUCCACAGGUCAGUUCCCAAUCUUAAGAAAAAGGCUGUGGAAGGAGAGCAGAAAUGGCAAGCCCUGAAGAAAAUCACCAGUCAAGGAAAAGGCUGGAUUGUGGGAACAACCUAAAAUGGCUUUUCCUUUGGGAUCUCAGCUGCAGUGACAUUGCUGGCUGCUCCAGAGGGCUCGGUGUCUUUGGGUCACGGAGCUGCCUUCUGGAAAACAACAGCUGGAACCAGAGAGGAGGAUGAACCACAGGGAGGAGGAAGGUCCUAAACAUCCUGCUUGCAGACUCUGCAGAGCAAGGCAAUGCAGUGCAGCCCAGCAGAACACACAAAUUCCAUCAGUGUUUUCAGAGAACUGCAUAUCAGAGUAGAUGAAGGAAACAAGUUUCACUCUGUGUAACUUUUUUAUUAUCGGUAAAAAGAAUGGAGCAUUACAUGGGUGGAGUGGAUGGAAAGGGGAUGGAGAACAGUCAAAUGUUCUUGGCAGUGAUUAGAAAAGGGGAAAGAAAACUGACACUUCUUGAUAAACUGUCUCAGAGCUGAGAUGCCUUUGGGUUUUUUUGCCAAAAAAUGUUAAAUGAAGUAGAGUGGUCUUUUCCCUCUGCAAUGAUAAUUUUUUAAAAAUGCAGAAAACCCCAUUCACAUUCCCACAUGCCCUUAUGCUGAGUGCUUUCAGAGCCAGUUCUCAUCAAAGAAUACAUUGGAACAAUCUAUCUCUGCUAUGCUCAAAGAAGUUAAUAAAACAGCCCAAAAGAGGAGACUUUUUCCA
ensembl:lncRNA